rnacentral:rRNA from 1 species
AGGACGAACGCUGGCGGCGCGCUUCAAGCAUGCAAGUCGAACGAGAUACCCGGGCUUGCCCGGGUGGAGAGUGGCGAACGGGUGAGUAACACGUGAGGAACCUGCCCCGAAGACCGGGAUAACGCCGGGAAACUGGUGCUAAUACCGGAUGCCCUCGCCGGAUCGCAUGGUCUGGCGAAGAAAUGGAUUCCGCUUCGGGAGGGGCUCGCGGCCUAUCAGCUUGUUGGUGGGGUAACGGCCUACCAAGGCUUCGACGGGUAGCUGGUCUGAGAGGACGAUCAGCCACACUGGGACUGAGACACGGCCCAGACUCCUACGGGAGGCAGCAGUAGGGAAUCUUGCGCAAUGGGCGAAAGCCUGACGCAGCAACGCCGCGUGAGGGAUGGAGGCCUUCGGGUUGUAAACCUCUUUCAGCAGGGACGAUUGUGACGGUACCCGCAGAAGAAGCCCCGGCAACUACGUGCCAGCAGCCGC